rnacentral:lncRNA from 1 species
UGGUUAAAUAGUCUCGUCGCUCCCCAAUCACAACUACCUCAUUAUCCUCCUUAGUCCUCAAGACAACCCUUUUUAUCACACAAUCCAGGCUCACUCGGUGUUUAACCAGCCAGUCCAUCCCCAGAAUUAGAUUAAACUCUCCAAAUGGAAGCUCCAUUAGAUCAGCCAGAAAUACUGUCCCUUGGACCUCUAGCGAAACAUCUCUAUACAAUCUACUAACUCAUAUGGAUUGCCCCAAAUGACUUAACACCGUUACCUUACUGUCAGUACUCUCGACUGGAAUCCCCAAAGUUUUAGACACAGUACUAACUACAUAUGAAUGGGUAGAUCCUAUGUCUAUCAAUACAAGAAAAGGUACAUCAAAUAUUAAAAACAUACUUAUAAUGAUGUCUGGAGCAUCUCUAUCCUCAUGACGACAAAUGGCAUAGACCAAAGCAGCCUGCCUCGCUUCAGUCGGUCCCGCACAUCUACCCGGUACCCUCUGUCCUCGGCCCAUAACGUUAUCACCCCUGACCUGACCCCGGCACCUAAGUAGCUGCUGAAUUACCCUCGAUGGCUGUGCAAUCCCAGUAACCGGAGCUUGCAUCUAAUUAGUUCUCAAUGGACAAUCUCUAACACGAUGCCCGGUGGACCCACAUCUCAGACAUGCCUCAGUAGUCCUCCAACACUUGCUCGGAUGGAGUCUACCACAAUGUCCACAAAGCACCACCCCAGUACGUACCGCAGGAGGCACAACUCUCACUGGCCCAUCAAAUUUGGCCUUUUUUUAGGCCUCAUUCAAGCACUCGAAGGUUCCAAAUUCCUCAUACUUUUCCCCUGUCUUGAUUUUGGCACUCAGUGCGCUUUACCUCUACGGUGAUCUUCGCCUUCUCCACUAGAGCAGAAAAAUCACGCUCCUUCUGUAGAGCUAUCAGAACUCGCAAACUGUCCCUGAGACCAUCCUCAAACCAGAUACAGCGCUCAUACUCGGUUGCCACCAUGUCUCACACAUAACGAUUUAACCUCAGGAACUCGGCCUUAUACUCGGCUACUGAUCGAUCUCCCUGAAUGAGAUUAAGAAACUCAAGUCUCCUAGCAUUAAUGUAGCUAGCUUCCACAUACUUACUCUAGAACGCAGUCUUAAAAUAGUGUCAAGUCAAUCGGUCGGGCUGAGUGCCCUCCUUAACUAUCAGCCACCACUGAUAUGCUUCGUUGCGAAGCAAAUAAACAGUCUCCUUAAGCUUUUGCUCAGCAGUACAAUCCAAGUCAUCCAUAAUUCUUUCCGUGGCCUCCAUCCAAUACUCAGCCACGUUCGGGGCGACUCCAGCGACACCUCUGAAUAACUCAGCCCCGUUGGACCAGAGUCGUUCCGUAAUUGACCCUCGGCCUCCAGAUCUAUUGUUGGGCCCAACGACCCUCUCUAAAAUUCGUAACAUGGCUUAGGACAGUAUGUUGUCCCCAACCGCACGAUCUCGUGACCCAAUCUCUGUCACAAGUGAUACCGGUGUCUUACUAGUAUCUAAGUGAGGCAAAUUCCCAGAUGGUGAGGAUCCCACUUGAGCCCCUCUAUGGCCUCUACCACGGCCUAUAGUACCUCGUUCAUGAGUACCACGUACGCUCAUUGUCUAAUCGAAUUUAUCUGUAUUACAAAUUUUAUGGAUCAGUUACAGUUUCAGUAUUUAUUAACAGAUGUUUUAUGUAAAACAGUAUCAGAAGUUCAGAGUUUGUUUUCGUAAGUCGCAGUCUCACUACAGGUUUCAAUAUACACUAGCUAAAGUUCAGUAUGGUUUACUACCUAUAGUAGUUUCAGAUUAUACUAUCUACAGUAUUGUGAAAUAAACAAUACAAAUUUCAGAAAACUUACAGGAUCAGCGCCGAGACUCACUCGAUGUACCACAUUCUCAAUCAAAAAUAUUUCAACCCAUUGAAAAUCAUUUCUUUAAAACCAAGUUUAAAACCCAAUCCACAGUCGAGUUUUACAACCUGGCUCUGAUACCACUAAAUGUAACACUCUAAACCCGACCUAGAUGUUAUGGCUGAAUCUAGUGGUAUCACAUGAAAGUGUUUUUAAAAACGCAUUGAUCUUAAAACCAUUCCAAUUAUUAUCUUUUACUUAGUUCAGGAAAACAUGAACUAAUUGAUUUGCUUUAAAAUUUUUUUACGCGGAAGCUUUUGAUAAAGUUCGUCUUUGAAAAACCGUUCGUAUUUAAGACUACCAUCAUUUUGAUUAAAACCAGGUUUAGACUAAAAUCCUAUAAAUGGUUUUAAAAAAAUCCAAAAAAAGUCCAACAGUCUAUAAAGUCCCUAUAUUGUAUAAAAACAAACUAAAAAAUAAUUAAGAAAUAAAUACCGAAACUGAGUUUAAAAUAGUCUAUGUAUGUGUGGCCACUGUCGAGUCCUCCGCUACACUGAACUAUAAAGUCUGGGGAUUACCUGUACAAAUUAAAUAGAAAUGGUGAGUUUUCGCAAACUCAGUGUGUAAUCCCCAUAGAAAUCACACGUACAGAAUACACACCAGGUGUCAUAAAUAAACAGUCUGGGGCCGAAGCCCUUUACAGAAUCAGUUAGGGCCUUAGCUUAUUAGAUAUAGAAUCAGAUACAACUUAGGGCCUUAGCCCAUGUUAGAUACAGUAUGCAGACAGAAUAUCAGAAUUCUACACACCAGCCUUUACACACUAUUUCCGUCUCACCUUACACACCAUGUGGGGAUAUAAUCGACCCACCUAUCCUUACACACCAUGCUGUACUGACAUGCGGUACAUAAUCAGAUAAUUGCAGCUGAGCUGCUAGAUAACAGGCUUAAAAGCCUUUCAGAAUACUUCCUCCAUAUAACAUCAUCCCAACCCCGCAACAUACAAAAAUGACAUGCUAAUAUGCAAUUUGUCAAAUCAUACAUUCAGUUCAAGAUAUCGCAGUUCAUGCUUGAUAUAGAAAUCAGACAGUCAGAAUACUUAAUGAGGGAUCUAAGUAGUGAUUAUUAACCCUACGAUAGGUCCACAGUCGACUUGGGCGACCCAUGCAACCUUACAGAUCAUUUCAAAAAAAUAGGCUCACACGCCCAUGUAGCCUGCCCGUUUGGGUCCACAUGGCCUAAAUUAGCCUUGGACGUGUGGAUCACAUGGCUUAGCCCAGAAUUCUGUGUGGGCCCACACGGCCCAAAAGGUUCAGUCAUGUAUCGCACAUAGCCUCAUUGACCAUUACACGGCCAUGUCAAACUCAAGUGUCUUGCGUGCACGGCCUAGCUCAUCUAUCACACGCCUGUGUACUACCAUACGGCCUACCAUACGGAGGACCACACGCCCAUGUGGCGUCGACAGAUUCAUUUUUUGGCUUUCGCUAUUUCUCGUUUUCUGUGUUUUCGGGUACACACAUGGUAUUGAUUCGAAACUAAAACGACCACGAGUACUCUAAAAUAUUCAGUCGCACAAUCGGGGUUUCACCCACUUCGCAAGUCAAUCAGAGAUCUUCAGCCCUUUGAUUAUCUCUUAACGCAAAGAGAAAAUAGAUGUAAUAGAUUGCAAAACCUUAGCAGUAAGAAGAGGACGAUUUCAUAUAGGAAAAAGAAAAACAAAAUCGGCAGUAAGGGGGAUUUUAGGAGAGUAAAAACGGUAGCAAAGCUUGAGAAAGAAAUCAGUUUUGGCAAAAAUUCUGAUCACUUCCCCUAAACUCUUCUCAAAACUCUCACCACUAGCCCACUACUUAGAUUUUCAGUAAAACUCAAACUCUAGCUGAAAUUUGUAGUAAAGAAAUAAAACCCUUGCUUACACCUUGAUUCAAGCACAGGACCUCCAACUUAAAGUCACUCCACCUAACCACCAGACCAGCAGGCCCAUUCUACCAGAAUUUCACGCACAAUCAAAUAUAAAACUAUUAAACAAAAGUGAGGCUUUAUUAAUAAAAAUACCAAAAAUUUACCCAAGUUGUGGGUUGAACUUGAGACCUCACACAUACCCAAACACUUAACCAUUGAAGCAGAUACACACUUGUGUAAAUUAUUUACAGAAACAAUUUAUCAAAUUUUAGGGCAUUACAAUGUGGCUACUUUUGAAGCACAAUGUGCAAGUAUUCCAUGUAUCCGAUUGUAUUCUAAGUGUUCAACGGGUAAACCUAUGAGUUAUUCGAUAAAUAAGUCAACGAUGAGGGAAUAUGACAAUGUGUUACGAGUUGGUACAAGUAUGUACGAAAAACUCAUAUAAAUGACCUCGGUAUGUGAUGAACUUUUGGGAAGAUUGAAAAUGUAUAAGUUAUGUCUAGAAAUUUAAGUUAUGCCUAUGAAUCUAUGAUGAUACAUAUGUAAAUUAUGUAAUGUCAAUGGUAUUUAUAUAUACAUAUAUAUGAUUGUGUUGCUAUUUAUUUACAGGUGAACUUACUAAGCUUUAUGUUUACUCUCCUCUCUUUUCCAUUUUCUUAUAGUAUCACCAAGCUAACUCGGGGAUCGAAGGACGUUAGAGACUCAAUCACACUAUCAACUAGACAUUCGAGUAUAGUUAGUCUCAACAUUUUGAGUAUGGCAAGUAUAGGGACUUGGUCUUUUUGUUGUAUGUCAUAUUGGUCUAGCCAAAUGUGUUGGUUUAUGGUAAUAUUUAAUUUAUUUUGUAUAUGGUCAUGUUAUAUGGUUCAUAUUGAUUAUUUGGGUUGUAACCCUAAUUAAUUGUGCAUUCAUGCAAUGUGUUAUGCUUGAUGUGGUUGCUUGUGGAUGAAAUGUAUGAUGAAUGGCAUAUAUGCUAAAUGAAUGAAUCAUGGCUAACAAGUAUAACCAAAAAUAUGGUAUAAUUGAGUAAAUUGGAAGUAGGUUUACCAUGAUGAAUAAAUAUGAAAUUGGUAUGGAAUGCUAUAUGAAAGCAUGAUGGUUUGAAUAGGUGAUAUGUUGACAUUUCAAAGUCAUGAAUUAAUCAAGUUUAUGAGUAUUUGAGUGACUAAAUAUACUAUGUUGCAUGCCAUCAAAAAUGUAUGAGUGAAUAAGCAUUUAAGAGUGACAAAUGGUUGGAAAAUAGCCUCAAAGUUGUCCACAUAGGUAGACACACGAGCGUAUGUCUAGGCUGUGCGUGACGCACAGUCUACCCUAUGGGCGUGUGAUUCGACCGUGUGUCCCCUGCACCCUAAUUAAUGCAAAACAGAAUGCCCAAUAGUAAACACACAGGAAGAGACACGGAUGUGUGUCUCUGCCGUGUGAAGGGCACAACCUUAGUACAUGGGCGUAUGCCCAGGCCGUGUGAAGUCUGCACCUAAUUUUAGAAUUUAAUUCACCACAUGGUCUGAGCACACGGGUGUGUGACUUGGUCGUGUGACCCUAUUUGUGUUGAUGACGUCAUAAACAGAGAGUUACACGGGCUAAGGACACGGGUGUGUCUCAAGUUACACGGGCGUGUGUGACCACGCGAUCUACCCACACGAGCGUGUGACCCUGUUUCAUGAAAAUUUUUCUAAGUUUUUCUAAAGUUCUCAGAUUAGUCCUGAACUACUCCCAAUGUAUGUUUUGGCCCCCGUAGACCCAUAUAAGAGACAAUUUGCAUGUGUAUGAAUGGUUUUAAAUUAAACGAAUUUUUAUGGUUGGUUGUGUAUGUUUACUUGUAUUUAAGUCUGGUAAUGCCUCGUAUCCUGUCCCAAUGUCGGACAUGGGUAAGGGGUGUUACAUAUGGCAUGUGAUGAAGGAGAGCUUGGUCAUACAAUACCUCAUAAGAGGUGACUCGGAUAGCUGAGUGGAAAGUGGAGUUGUACUACCACUUAGCCAAUAGAAGCCAACUUUUCUAGUCUUGUGGCCUUUCCCUAGACAUACAUCUCAAAUAUCCUUCAACGCAUUUAUUGAAGACUUUAGUUUGUCCAUUUGUCUCUAAAUGAUAGGUAGUGGGCAAGUAAAGCAUGAUAAAUUUUCUUAUUAUACAAUUUUGUGUGAGUACUUAAAUUAUUAUACAUAUUGAUUAGUAGGAGGAGUAUAGUACCAAACCUUCUAAAAAGAUCCUAUCAGAAAUUGCUAAUAAAAACCUCAUCCCUAUCUAAUAUGAUUGAAUUUGGAACAUCACGUCAUUUAUAGACAUUAUCCAUGAAUUUCUGAGCUACAGCAACAGCAAUAAAAAGGUGUCCUAAAAAUAACCAUACUUAGUAAGGCGAUCAACCACCAUAAAAAAACACUCUUACCUUUUGAACAAAGGAGUCCUUCUAUGAAGUCCAUAGAAAUGGAUGACCAAGCCCUCUCUAGUAUGGGUAGAGGCUGUAACAGUCUUGGGGAAACAACAUUUUCUGAUUUGCAUCUUUGACAUGUGAUACAUUCUCUCACCCAUCUCUAAACAUCAUUGGUUAAAGCUUUCCAAUAUAAAAGACAAGUCAACCUACUUUUCGUUGCAUGUGCCCCUAGAUGACCACCCAUAGCACUAGCAUGAAAAUGUUGGAACAAUUCUUGCUUGAGGCUAGCCAUAUUUCCCACCACAAUCUUCCCUUUUCUUCCAAGAAACCUGCCAUCCUAAAAAUAUUUUGGAUGCUUGGUGCCUUGUUGCUAGAGUUUUGAACACAACUUCUAAACUUUAGUGUCGAAUAGGUAAGAUGCUUGCAAGAAGACUAGAGCUGGUAGUGCUUUCAGUAAUCUACAAGCAUUUCCCUUCUUUUAAAGACUGCUUCAUUAACAAGACAUUUGUUGCCACAUUGCUUGACCCCUUUCUGUAAAUCACCUCAUAGUCAUACCUCGAGCAUUUUACUGAAAAUGAGUGACAGGCAUCUGAUCAACUAGAAACCUCAAACUUUAGUGACUAGCUCUGAUUUUAAAAUGCCCUCCCAUUAGGUACGAGUGUCAUUUUCUCACAGCUAAUAUCACAACCAUCAUUUCCUUCUCGUAUAUGGACAAGGCUUAGUGCUUUAUCCCUAACCCUUUGCUAAAAUAAGCCACAGGUUUUCCUUGUAGCUGAAACACUGCACCUACCCCAUAAUCCAAGGCAUCAGUAUCCACACAGAAUUCUAGUUUAAAAUUAGGAAGAACCAAGGCUAGUGUUAAACAUAGAGCUUUUUUCAGCUACUCAAAAGCAAUAGUGGCUUGAUCACACCAUCUUCAAGCAUCCUUCUUAAGUAAACUAGUUAAGGCUCUAGCAAUUAUACCAUAGUGUUUAAUGAACCUCUUAUAGUAUCCUAAGAGUCCUUAAAUCCCCUCAAAUCCUUGAUGGAAGUAGGAAGGGGCCAGUUUGCUAUACAAUCCACCUUGGUCUUAUCCAUUAAAAUAGUUCCCUUGGAGAUGACAUGCCCCAAGUACUCCACUUGAUCAAUACCAAAUGAACAUUUACUCUUCAUGACAAAGAGUUGAUGUUGUCUCAACAGCCUGAAAACCUCUCUGAAAUAGGUCAAAUAUUCCAACCAAAUGGUGGAAUAAACCAAUAUGUCAUAAAAAAACUAAAAUUUUAUUCAUCAAUAAUGGUUUAAAAAUAGUGUUCAUCAACCAUUAAAAGGUAGAAGUGGUAUUGGUGAGCCAAAGGGCAUUAUCAAAAACUCAUAAUGGCCCUCAUGAAUUUUGAAAGUUGUCUUUGGAAUGUUAGCUUCAUGCAUUCUAACCUAGUGAUAACCAAAUCUCAAAUCUAAUUUAGAAAACACCUUGGCCUAUCCCAACUCAUCUAGCAGCUUUUCAAUAAUGGGAAUUGGGAAUCGAUCAUUGAUUGUCAAUUGAUUAAGGUGUCUAUAGUCUACACAAAGUCUCCAGGUGCUAUCUUUUUUCUUCACCAUGACCACAGGAGAAGCAAAGGAAUUGGAAUUAUCUCUGAUUAUUCUAGCUUGAAGCAUUUCUUUAUCAAGUCUUUCUAACUCAGACUUCUAGAUCAUAGGGUACCUGUAAGGUUUGACUUUAACAACUGCUCCUUCAUCCUUAAGAGGUAUCCUGUAAUCUUGGGGCCUUGGAGGAGGCAAACUCGAGAUAACUUGAAAGAUAUCCUGAAAUUCCUUAAGGAGCAAUUGUAGUUCUUCAGGCAAGGUCUGAGCAAAGACUGUUGAUAAGGUCACUUAUUCAAUACUAGUCAUAAAUAAUAUACAAGGGUCUAAUUCUCAACCAACCAUUGAAAAAUUUUUACUUACUACAUUUGUCUUAGCACUUCAAUACUGCUUGGUAGGAUGCCCUUAAUAGUACAAAUGACCUAUUUAGAAGAAAACUACAUGGUCAUGGAAUUAAAAUUCCAGUUUAUAGACCCUAAGAAAAGCAGUCAUUCUAUUCCUAGAACCAAAUCACACCCUUUCAUGGGUAAAAUCAUAAAAUUAACAAUAAAACUGGCUCUUUGGACCUCCCAUUCUACUCUCUUACAAGUGCCACUAGUAAACAGUUGUCUUCCAUCAGCUAUAGUAACUCUCAUUUGUUGUUGGUGCCAAACAGGUAAGGCCAACCUAGAUACCAACCUAAAGUCUAGGAAGCUAUGUGUACUUCCUGACUCUACCAAGAAAAAAACCUUGGCUGACCCUAUUUUUGCCUCAAUCCUCAUGGUAUAGGGACCCUAAGACCCUUUGAUUGCAUGCAAGGACAGUACAGGUCUCUAUGUUUGAUCUCUUUAUCUAGGAAGAUCUUCCAACUGCUCUGAGCAUUCUUGAAAAUCCUUUAUAUCCUCCUCACAAUGUGACUCUAGCAACAUUUGAUAUAAUUGGAUUGUAACACAUUUGUGGCUAAUAUGGUACUUGGCUCUACACCAUAAGCAAAGGUCUUUUUACUUCCUUUUAGCCAUGAAUGUAGGACUUACUCCUUUUGUGGACCCUUUAGAUGACACAGAGCUCCUUGAUGAUGGAUGAGUUGAGGAACCAGAUUAAGCAAAGACAUAUGGUCGAGUAGAAAUAGAAAAAGCCAAGGGUAAGUUGAACCUAGGCAAGGAAUUAGCUUCAGUUAAAAAUCCAUUCCUAGGAGAUACUCCUAAAAUACUCUCCACUUGUUGAGCAAUGUGGAACCCUUUCACUAAUGUUUGAGGUCUAAAGAGUUGUAAGUACUAAAUUAUUUCUAUUUUCAUAUUACUAACAAAUAUUCUAAGGGUAUAUGAUUUAGGUAAUUGUAACUGGUUCAAAAGGCUUACAAAUUGGUUGUAAUAUUACUCCACUGAGCCUUAUUGUUUCAAGGUCACCAAUUCAGUUAUCAACUCCUUGAAGAUGCUUAAUCCAAAACACUCUCUCAUAAGUCCAAUCCAACAAGUUAAAACCUCUAUGUUUUUAGGUAAGAAGGAAUGCCAAUCUAAGGCUCAACUUUCUAGGUGAAGUACCACUGUACAUACCUUGUCAUACUCAAGCACUCCUUCAGUUGCAAAGUACUGCUCCAACUUUAACAACCAGCCCCUAAAGUUAGCUGCAUCAAAACGAAGGUAUCUAACAUGUAGGAACACUCUUAGAGGAACCCCAAACUAGGUAAGUUCAAAAUCAUAGGUCUCAAAGGAGGUUGAGGGACUUAUAGAGGAUUCUUGGAUAGAAAUCCUAGAAGUGGCACUCCUAAAACCCCUUUUGCCCUUGGCUUGAGCAGUUGCUAUUGUAUUCAAAGCAGUGGGAUUGCCCAAAUGCUUCUCAAACAAAGAGUGCAUCUCCAUACGAAAUUCCUCCUUAAAACCUUGCAAUCAAGCCUCUAGCUUAGUAUCCAACUUGGAACCCAACUGGGAGAGUUCAACCCGGACUUUCACCAUUUAUUGUUGAAGAACACCCACAUCCUUCUGUAGUCUCGUGGUCACACUGGCCAUAGCAAAUCGUUGAGCUUCGAUACCUUGAUACAGUUGAAAAUAGAAAAGAAAAGAAAAGAAUAGAAACUAGGGAAGAGAAUAGAGAAAGAUAAAUUUGUGCAACAACUAAUUCCUUUUUCAUAUCUGACUCAACUCCCUUACACCCCAAUAUAUAGGAAGGAAAAUGAAAAUGAAUUUACUGCUUAAAAGUUAGUUAAAAUGAAUGGUAAAACUAAUAGUACGUAAUUUUUUAAAACACUCCGUUUAACUAAACCAUGCUGUGCAUUGUUUCCCCUUGUUCCAUUUUGACCCAUAACAUAAAACAAAAUAAUAAUAAUAAUAACUAAUGAAUAAAAAUUAUUUUUUAAUAUAUUUUUUAAAAUUUUCUAUAUUAUUAGUUGAUGGAAAUUAACAAUAUGUGUAAAAUGUUGCUUUUAUAAUAUUUUUAUCAUUUGUUCAAAAUUUUUCUUUAAACCAUAACAAAUAAUAUGUUUUAGUAAGAAUUUUUUUUUCUUCUUCUUUCUUUUUCCUAUCACUCUAAUCAAAAGAGAAACCCCAAAUAUUUAUUGUUUCUCUCCAAUUUUAAAUUUAAAAAAUGUGAUAUGAAAUUAAUUUACAAGGGCAAUGCAUUCAUUUAUUAGUAUGGUAAAAACACUAUGUUAGAAAUUGUAGGUUGCAAAUUUAAUUUUUUGAUGAGCACUUAUUCAAUUUUGGAAAGUGAUAAUUAUAAUUUAAUAAAUACAUUUAGAAAGUGAUAAAUUAUAAUUCAAUGGAUACAUUUUCAUGGGACAUAUUUUUUCUAAGAAGUAUGUUCAAUACAAAGGGUUGUGAUUCUUCAAAAUAGUAUCUUUUAAGUGCAUAUAAAUAGAUGGUCUAUGGUGCUCACUAAUCACAAUUACAAUCAAUCCUAUUUUCAGAAACUAGAGUAAGAGUAAGGGAAUUCCUCAAUUUUGCUAAUAAAAGGAAAUUCAAAACUUCGUUGUAUCCCGGGGGUACCUUUGUCUUAACCCUCUAGCAACUUUAUGUGGGGGAUAGUUCUCUUUGAAAAGCAUCAUCCGCGCUUCAAAGUAUACUGUUUAUUUCCAUAUAAGUCACCGGUUCUAUCAUCUCCACUCAAGUUAUCGAACAUACUAUAAGCUUUAAUUUUUGUACAGUUAAUAAUAAAUUUUUUUUAGUGAUAAUUAAAUAAAAUGUGGUUUUAAAUACUUUUUAAUACUAUUAAUUAAAUAAUAAAAUUUUACAUUCCAACCAAAUAAAUUAAACAAAAUAAUUUUUCAUUCUAAUAAUCCUAUUAUUAGAUAUAAUUUUACAUUACAUCCUCCAAAACUGAACACUUAGCAUAAAAGUGAAGUGAAAAAGAGCAUCUAGGAGUCAAAAAAUGGAUGAAAACAGGUAAGACUAUCUUUUAUGACUUAUUCUUGAUUAAAUUCCUUUUGUCGCUUAUUGAUUAUGAAUGCGUAGCUUUCUGUAAGCUGGAUCGCCUAAUUCCUGUCAUCUUCUUAGCCCACGCCGAGGACGACAUCCAUAAGUCAUUACUUUUCUUCUAACACACCCUUAUCCUUUUUUGGCUCAAUUACUCUAAAUUCAAUAAAAUUUGGCAUCAUCCUCACUCAACACAGUUGUAGAGAACGAAGUGGAUCAUGCUCUACCAUCAUUUUUUAUUUAUUAAUAUAAUGACAUGGAUUUUUUUCUUCUAAGGAUAUAGCAGGGUAAGCACUAAGUGGGGCCCGGCCUCUUUGAUUAAAUGAAAUAAUACUAAUUUUAGUCCUUUUAAUUAUAAAAUAUUCAGUUCAUACCCUUUUAAAACAAAAUUUUAUCUGGAUCAAUUCAUAGGCACUUACCCUUGUACAUAUGUAUAUAAAAGAAUCAAAUUCACGGCUACAACUGUAAAGUUCACUAAGUAAAACCCUUUUGUAGAUAUGCAGAAAGGCAGGCCAUACUCCUCCAACUUUUGACUUGUCUUGGCUUUUCAUACCACAAUAAUAAUAUAUGUUGAAAAUCGAUUAUCCAUACCCUAAUUUUGGGUUUAGAUUCAACUCAUAAAAAGAAGAAUCUAUAAUCAAUCCAAGGGGAAUACUACAAAAUCCGAAAGACCUUUUAGCCAAAAUCUUAAUUUCCUUUUUGAAAGAGUUCCAUUGUUUUAUGAUUUUAAGUGUAAGGGAAGCAUCUUUGAUUAAUGUGUCUAAUGGUAAAUUUAUAAUUUUUAUAAAAAUAAAUCAAAUUACAAAUCCUUGAGAUAUGCUCUAUUUAGAUUUAAUUGGUGGGUUUAAACUUUUUUUUAAAUAAUAUUUAAAUAUUUAUUUGGGUUUAUUUCAUGUUUGGACUUCGUAAGUAAAAUGGAUUUGGGUUUAAGUAUUUUAAAUAUAAUCAUUCCAAUUGUCUCUUCAAAUCAAAUGAAAUUCAUCCUUGAAAUUGUAAUCUCGAAUAUAAGAAUAAAAAGAUAAUUUAUUUUUGUCAUCCUGGAGAAAUCUAGCCUGAGGAUAUUAUUCUUUUCUUCAUAAAGUAAACCAAUUUACAUGUCAAAAACCAUCCCAUGCACGUGUCCAUAGAGAAUCAACAUUGAUGCUACAUAUUCCAAAAAAAUCAUCUCGAAAACUAUUUUGACAAGACACAAUAUUGUCAGGGUUUCGAAUAUGUUUUUUUACCCCCACAAAAAUCAAGAUUAGCUUUUUCUACAACUACUUGAUUUGUUUAAUUAAAAUAUAGUAUAAAAUCCUUCAAACCCUACUUGAUUGUUAUUAUUUUUCUUCACUUUGAUUAACCACAUUUAAAUUGCUUUACAGCAUUGAAGGACAACCCUAAAACACUAAAUGGGUGAAUGUGCCUUUUAUGCACCAUUCCCCUAAAUCCUUUCAUCAUAUAAUUUUAUAAUGGUUAAAUUCAAGAUAAUUAUAAAGUCAUUUUUUUAAUUAUAUAGUUAUUAAGUGAGUGUUUUUUAUUUAAAAAAUGUUAUAGCAACAAAUUUAACAACACAAUUUAACAAUGUUAACAAUUGGAUCUGAAUUUUGAAAUUUGAAAAAUAGAGGGACCAAAUUCAUGAAAUAGAAGUACAUGGGCUGAAUUCCUAAUUUUUUAUAAGUAUAGGGACUUAAAAACAUAUUUUAACCUAUUAAAAAAUAAGAGUUAAUUGCACCUUAUUUAUAUCUCAAAAUUCUAGUCAAAAUUCUUGACUCAAUUCUUCAAAGUAUCAAUUCCAUCAACCUAAAGUCAGCUACAAUUUUAGAUGCCAACUCGAAUCUAAUCUAUAACAUAUUUAAAGCACAUGUAUAGCUAAUAUAUGAACAAUUUGGAUCUAACGUAUUAAAAAAAAAAAGCAAUAUCAAUAAAAUUUAGGAGGCAUAUUUUUUUAAACACGUUAAAUCCAAGGAGUCCAUGCGAUAAGCACAAUAUUGUGUUUAAAAUUUGAUCUUAAAUAUGUUCCAAGUUAAAUCUAAGCUAACAUUUAACAUCUAAGGUUAGAUUAAACUGAUGAAAGGAUUUGAUCAAUAUGAUAUUAAAUGCUUUGGAGACUCAAUUAAAAUGUUUUAAAUAUGUUUCGAGUCAAAUCUGAGCUAACAUUCAAUGCCCAAAGUUACAAAUAGGUUGAUGAAAGGGCCAAGCUGAUAUGAAAGUAAAUACUUUGAGGACUCAAUUAAAAUAUUUGAAAUUUGGGGACUAAUUUAAAAUCAAGACCAUAAUUUAAGAGUGUCUAAUGCAAUUGCCCCUAAAAAUAAAUUGCCGAAAUUAAUCUCUUUGUGUUUUUUUUAUAUAUUUCCUAAACCACUUAUUAACCCUCCCAAUCUUUAACAAAAUUAAACUGGAAAAACAUUACACGAAGCAAAUCUUCAACCUUCAGGAAGCUAUGAUGACAACUAAAGCUAAUGUGGAGCUAAUCUCUUUGGUCUUUUGUAAUACUAUGACUAUUAACUUUUUUCACCUAUGAAUUUAAUUGUUUUUUUAAUACAUUCAUAAUUGAACAAACCACUAUCACCUUACACUGAUUGCUACCCAUGACAUGAGUUUUUGAAAUCAACACUAGUGUGCUAAGUUAAGAGCCGGGUCAUAUGAACUUAAUUGUUAAGUAGUAGGUGUAGGCUGUAAGUAGAGGGUAAAAAUGAGCAUGUAUUAAAGAGUUGUAAAAUCCGCAGGAAAAAGGAAGGUAGAAUCCGUCCAUGCAUGACACGAUUCCCAAAGAACGUAUAGGAUGCUCUGCAUGGGAUUUAAACGAGGAAAACCUUCACCCAUUGGUUGCUCCAUCUUACAAGAAAUCAUCAUCUUAUAAUUGAACUCUAAAGCUGCUCUGGGUCCCCUCCCAUUUUAGCUUUUUAAUUUCUCUGCUUUUCAUAAAAAAAAAAAAGUAAAAGGGAAAGGGAAGAAAGAAAACAAAGUAGUUUUGAAUUGCAUCCACUUUCAAACAAUCCCCCACAGGUAAGGUUAAACUCAAACAACAAGAAAACCUAAUGGUUAAGAAAACCUAUGUCUUUUAUUAAGGGUUUGGUUUUCUAACAGUUUAUAGUUAACUAAGUGGUAAUAUUUUUAUUUUUAUUUUCGACUUCAAUAUAAUUUUUUUAGCUUUAAGUAAGGAUUUGAGCUUGAACCUUUUAAAUGAAAAAUAUAAAGAACUGAGAUUUCUAUUUAGGAGUCCAGUCUGAGUUUACUCUAAAUUUAGUCAAAGUCUAAAAUAAAUAUCCGAAAUCAAAAGAGGGCAAAAAGAAAAGGUAUAGUAAUAUUGAUAUUGAGUCUUGUUUCAGAAAGAGAAUCAGAUACCUAACUAAUUCCCAAGUUUAUCAUUUGUUUUUUCACAUCUUAUGCUUUGAUUUGCUUGUGUUCUUGAAAAGGAUUUGACCCCUUUAUUUUUUGGGUGCAAGUUGAAGUCAAAUUAUCUGGAACUGAAACAUCAAUCCCACUUGAGUUUGUUUAUUUAUCUUUGGAUAUGACAUGAAAUUGAACGGUCUAUAUUGGUUGGCUAAAAGGCACGUUGACAAUGACAUGAACCAAAAUUUGGUCUAGAAGCAAAUAAUGGGCUUAGUUUUCUACACUAAUUUAUUGCCAUACUUUAAAAAAAAAAUUAAGGUAUUUUUCAUAAUUAUUCCUUCCAUUUUCACUAUUCCUACUUAAGUUUGAUCAUGUCCAUGCUUUCAAUUUUAGGAGCCUGCUAAUCAAAUCAAUUUUCAACUUCAUCGCCUUUAUCUUUCUUUCCAGGAAUAAUGACAAUGAUCAAAACUUUUUAUCAAUUUAGAAUUUCUUUCUUUUAUUUUAGGUAAACUAAAAAUUAAUCCCUUUAAUUUAUUUUCUCACAAUCCCAUCAUUUUAUUUUACAAAAAUGCAUUCUAAGCUUCUUAAUUUAAAAAAAAAAUUAUUUUAGCUCUCUAUUUAUUUUUUGUUUUUCUUAGCCCUUAAAUUAGUAUUUUUUUAUUAAAUUACCUCAAAAUGAAUGAAAAACCUAAUUUUUUUUGAACUUUGUUAACGUUGCAUGCAAGUGGAUGGCACGCCAGGUUUAAUUACUUUUUUAAAAUUUAAAAAAUAAAAAAAUAAAACUAUUUUUUAAAAAUCGUUAAAGUUUAUUAAAAACUUAUAAAUAUAUAUUUUUAAAUUUUUAAAUUUUAAUUAAAUGCUAACGUGUUAUCUAUGUGGAAUCCACGUGUAUGCUUUGUCAGCAAAGUUAAUAAAUGUUAAAUUUUCUAUCUAUUUUUGGGCAAUUUAACAAAAAUGCAAGUUAAAAGACUAAAAGAAACAAAAAUUAAAUGAAAGACUAAAAUAACUUUUUUAUAAAGUUAGAGAAAAAAAAUCUUUAUACCUUACAAAAAUUGACAAUAUAGUCUAGUUGUUGGUAACUACAUUAACUUAAACCACUUUUUUAAUAAUUUGUUGCAGAUAAAUUGGUAGAGUGCCAUUUUGUGCUCAUUUCAUAUAUAUGAAUGGUUCAACUAUCAAAUUCCAAAUCAACAAUUUAACUUUAAAAUUUCAGUGUUAUCCACUUAAACUAAAUUUUAAAAUUUGUAUUUAUAAAAUAUAAAGAUUGAAUUUUAAUAAAUUAAAAUAUAGAGAUUAAUUUUUUAAAUUUUUGUAAAAUAAAAGGAUAAAAUUUAUAAUUAGAAAUUUUUUUCCUUUACAUUGAUAAUCCAACAUUGAUUGUCAAGCAAAUACAAAUGGAGAUGACUCAACAAUUAAUAGAUGAUAUAUUUGAUAUAUAUAUAUAUAUAUGCGAAAUUAACAACAAAUUACAAUUGCCUACUAAAUUACUAUUAUUAUUGAUUAGUCCUUUUAAAAAUUCUUUGUCCAGGUGCAAGGAUAGCCAUAGGAUCAAAAUUGGCCUUCCUCUUCUCAAAUCUCGUCCAUUGAUUCCCAAAAUGUCGUUUCCAAUCCUCUUUGGCACGGUAGUGAGGGAGGUAUAGCUUGAAAUCCAAUCCCUCUUUGAUGCACCAUUUCACUAUCUCACGGUUCUCCGCUACCUUCUUCUCCACCGACGGUCCCUUCGGAACAAACCGGAGCAACGCCACAAUGUAAAAGAUCUCCCCUUCUGGCAACGCCACCGAUGUCCGACUAUCCCAUCUGAAAAAAAAAGAAGAGAAAACCAAACCCAUUCAUGCAUUAGAAAACAAAGAUAUAAAAAGAACCAAUGAAUGACUCUCCAUAUAUGCUCAUUUUUUAUGUCCAUUUUAAAACAUAGAUUUUAGCUAAAACAAAAAAAGACAUGGGUGCCUUUCUUAGGUCACAAUCUUAUCCUAUAUAUAAAUUUGAGGAAAAACAAAAUAAUUCCCAUUCCCCCCACCCCCCCAUCAUUUAAAGAAAAAUUUCCUUUUUUUGGGAAAGUUUUGAGAGGCCAUAACGAAAUUUAGUUAGGCAAAAUGCAAGGCCAAGGUCACGGAAGGGGUAAUUUCGUCGGAGAAAAAAAGAAAAUGGUGGAACACAGACAAAUAAUGGGUGUCAUUGUAAAGCUUGGUUGGGCGAAUAAAUUUUUGUUUGUCUGUUUCUGAAAUGGCGAAGACUGAUGGGCCGGAAUCGAAAGUUACCUCACUUGGAAAAUCUCACUUUCCAUAAAAAGAGUUACGCUUAAUGACCGAUAUGUCCUCCCCAACAUUAUUAUUAUUAGUAGUCUGAAUUUUAGCACACAAUUUUCAGACGUGAAAAAGAAAAUAAGUUUUUCGUAUUCAAAAUUCUUUUAAUCCUAUGUGAGUGGGACCCACCACAAAUCUUUGUCUUUUAUACUUUACUUGUAUAUAUACGUUUAACCAAAACACCCAACAUGACGUACACUGUAAUCACAAAUCCUCAUCGACUACGGUUAUGAUCCACUACGGUUAAGCUCACAGUACGAACCCACUCGUGGGCCCCGUGUUGUUGACUAAAAAAAAAAACAAAUCCCAGCCGCCUGAUUCAGUUUGUUUAAGCAAAAGAAUCCUCCGAGCAGAUGGAAAAACCCUGCCAGGUGAUCUUAGGUUUGAUUCAUUGUUGUUGAUAAAAAAAGUUAAUUGUUUCAGUCCUGCACAAUUUAAGAAUUUAAUCCUUAUAUUUUAAUAUAAUAUAAUUUUAUCAUUAAUUAAUUUAAAUAAUUAAUAUCAUUAUUAUUUUAGUUAAAAUAUUAACUUGAAUUUUCCUUCUCGACUCAUCAUGUUGAUAUAAUUUCCUUUUUGGUAUUCGAAGGGAUUUUUUUUUUAAAUGUCAAUAAUUUUAAUCAAAUAAUUAUUAGGACUAAAAUCAUGUUCUGUAGAAUUAAAAUAUAAGGACUAAAAUUUAAAUUUAAGCAUAGUAGAAAGACAAAACUAUAAUUAAACCUAAAAAAACAAAAGUGAAAUUUGGUCCUCACGGUCCCACCUUAUGACACAUUUCGAGAUUCCAAGUUUUGUGAUGAAACCUCGUCAUCUCUCACGUGACAGACAUGCAGGUUUUUUGACAUAUAAUGAAAGGUGGGCUCCACAAUAAUAAAUAAUUGGGAAAGGGGGAGGGCAAUACUCACUUGCUUCGCAAAAGAGGGUAGAUUAACAUGGGCCCACCGAUUCCAUUUUUCACCAUCUUUUUAAACACUGUCUGAUCGAAUUCAACGAUGUCUGAUUUGGACACGAAGAGGUUGAGCCAAGGGUGAGGAUUGUCCCAAACGCCGUUGGCUUUCGCGUCUUGCUCCGCUCGUUUCACACGCAAUAAGAAUCCCAUGUAGCUGACGUCCACCUGGGAUAUCAACCCAUCCACGAAUCCUAGCCCUCCAACAAGUCUGCUUACAGCCUGCAAAGUGGCAGUCAAGGACAAUCACGUCAUUUUGCAGAAUGAAAAAUUAUUGCCAUUCGUGAAUUGCAGAUUCCAGAAGAUGAUGGGGUUUUUUUUGUCCCUUUGUGGAACUGUGUGGGUGAGGGGGAGGGGGACCAAAAACGUCAGCCAAAAUCUCAAAAAUCAGCCAGCUAGCCGUAACGUUACUAAUUUAGCCCUGACAAAUUCCUGAUUUCACGAAAGAGACCCGAACCAGGAAAAUCCGAGAGAAGGAACACCAGAGUGCCAUUCUCGUAAUUAAACACCAACAGAAUGGGUACUUUCAAAAAAUUAAUCUUCUUGUCAGAAAAUCCAAUGAAAGAUACAUUAAACUGUAUGGUCAGUUUCAUCUACACAACUACAUACAAUAAUUCUCACAUUAUUUAGUACCCUCACUUAAUUUUAAAAAUUUGUGAAAAACUACAAUUAUAAAUAUUUUUUAAUUCCUUUUUCUAAAUGAUGGAGGAGGAGAAUAAGCCCCGUCCUCCGUCGCUGAAGGUUGUACACGUGGAAGACACCUCUGAGUUUUCUUUGACUUUAUUUUUUCACUGUCCGGCGGGGACACGAUUGAUGAUAGGACCUCACUUAAUUUUUGUUUGUGGUCAACAGAUUUAUUAGGCCCCACCAAGCUAUAACGUAGGUCAACACUCAGUCAUUAAAAACACAACAUUAUGCUUAUUUUGACUUAUUAUCAUUCACUCAUCCACGGUUACCAAUCAAGGUUCUAUGUUAUUAUCUUAAUAUGCGGCGCAGGUGAUUAUUGACUGUUAAGUCAAAAGUUAAAAAAGAAAAAGAAAAAGAAAAGUUACCAUAUCCACAGUUGAAGGCAGGUCACUGUUGCGGUAAUGAAAAGCCAGUUCAAGGCAGUAGAGGACUGGGCCGGCGGUUUGAGGGAGGUGAGCCGGGUUGAACUCUUGGUCCGGGUUCAACUGUACGGAGGGCCAGCCAUUGACUGGAUCGUCGUUGUUGCAGAAUACGAACCCUUCCACGUAAUCGAACGACUCGUCUUCUUUCUGACUCACCAGAAACUCAGCAUCCCGAGUGAAUUCCUCAAACUCGGCGUACACCACCCUUAUCCAUCUUACCUAAUCACACAAAUAACAAUAAUAAUAAUAAAACCUCCUUAAAAAGACCGAAAUUACGUGACGUUAACGUGCCAAUCAUGCACUAUUACAUUUGUUUUUGGUAAAACAUGGUUAAAUAAAUGUUUUCAUCCCUUUACUAUACUUAAAUUAGGGUUUUACUCCUUGUGCUUUACCUUAACAUUAUUAGAUCCUCUACUUUCAUAAUGUAAUUACUUAACAGUAAUGGUGACCUCGAAAAAUCAGGUUUAGCAUUUUAAUCAAAGUAGUUAAUGGUGUUAACAUGUCAAACUAAACAAUAAUAUUAUAAAAAAAAUUAGAUGACCAAAUUAUAAAAAUUGCAAGUAUAGGAUUAAAUUUCAAUUUAAACAUAGUAAAGGGAUCAAAACCGAAAGUUGACCUAAAACUAUACUCACCAUGUCCGGAGCUAGCUGAAGCUUAACCCUUGCUCGGGUCAUAAUACCGAACUGACCGAGUCCACCGAGGGCUCCGAAAAAGAGUUCCGGGUUUUGGGUUUCGGAGCAAACCGUUAUAUCUCCUUUUCCCGUUACGACUUCCAGUUCCGUUACGUUCGACGUUUGGGGACCAUAACGGAAGGCUUGUCCACUAACGCCAGCGUUAGACAAGGUUCCACCAACGGUCAAGCUCAAGUAAUCGGUCCACGACCUGGGAGCCAACCCGAAUCUCGAAACGCACCGUCUCAAGACGUCUUCCCAUAAUGCCCCGCCGGAGACGUCGAUGCAAGGGGAGCCAUUGACGGUCAAGAGCUUGAAAUGGUUUUCCCCAGUGGAACGCAUGUCUAUCACGUAACCACCGUCGGCCAUCGCCUGACCGUUGAUUGAGUGGCCGUUACCCCUAGCCGCAACCGUCAGGUGGGGAGUCCCGGCGGCGGCCUUAACGACCCGAGAUAUAUCCUCGGCUCCCGAUGGUCUAAUUAGAUACAAGGGCUUAACCGAAUAAAGCCCGCCGAAAUCUUUACUGGCUAUGCCGGAAACGUCGCCGUUUUCGAUGCUGCCUUGUAAGUUGAGAGAGUUGAAUAUGGUGGAAACGUCGUCGUCCAGCUUCGACUCGGCGUCGCUGUCGUGUACUAUUCGACCCAAGCAAGCUAUCAUCUUUGUUGCAAAUAGGAAUUUCGCCAAAAGAAGAAAUAAAUAAAUAAUAAUAAAUUUACAAGUGCUAUGAAACUAAGAUGUUUCUGGGCAUAGUUUGGGGACGAGGAGAGGGGGAAAGAGGGGUUUAAAUAAGGCUCGAAAUUGGGGGUCUAAAAAAAAUGGGUUAGUAUUUAAUUCAAUUUAAUUAAUUGAAGAGGAAAAUUUUGUGAUGUCAAGUUUGAAUAAUAAGUUUGGAGUUUGGAGCAAGUGUAAUUGCUUUAAUACUUUUACAUUCUUUUUUGGUUUUUUCAACAAGCAUUUUGAUUAAUAAUUUGCAUUUGUGGAUGAAAACAAGUGAAAGAGAAAAGAAAUAUAUAUAUAUAUAUAAUAAGGCAGAAGAAUAUGCAAUUAGCUUGUUGUUAUUUGCAUUUUUUUCUAAAAAGAAUAAAUAAAAAUUGUUAAUUAAAAAAAUUAUCUCAACCUUAAAAAUUUGUGUGGCAUUAAAAUUAGGAUUCAAACCCUACGAUCUAUCCCUAUCCAUCCCUAAUGUAGAGAAAAAAAACGUGAAUUUUUAAUUUAAAGAUUGACUUGAGUUGAGACAUCUUCGGAUGGAUUAACAAAUAAUAGCUUUGUAGUGUUUUUAGUGGGUAGAAUAUGGUGGGAAGGGUUAUAUAUAAACUAUAAUUAAAAAAAGAAGCAGAUUAAAUAUAUAAUGUAACAUAGAUAUUUAUGUAAUGUAGUUUGACCAUGUAAUUUCUUAAAAAUAAAUUAUUUAUCUUGUAAUUCAUUUUUUAUCUAUCACUUCCUUAAUAAAAAAGAACAAAAAUACCUAUAUAUUGUAAAUAGAUUUUUUUUUUUACCCACAUAAUGAGUGGUGUAAAUUUUAAUUUGCUUGUUAAUUAAUUUGAAAUGAAAAACAAAACUUCAAAUAUUGCUUCUAUAAAAGUUACUAAAAUAUUCUCUUCUGUUUUUUUAAUUAAGGCAGUUGUGAGUUUUUUUUUUUUUUUGCUAAAAAAAGUCAACUGUGACUUAAUUUAUAUUAAUUACUCAGUUUUUAUAAUUGUUAUCGUAAUUAAUGAGAAUGUAUUGAAUCAUCGAUAUCCUCUUUGGUCAUCUAGAUGUUGUUUUACAUUUUUCACGUUUCUGAAAUAUAAAAAUUAAAGAAAUUCUUCAAAUGCAAGAACAACACCUGAAAAGAUAAAAGCAUUCUAAUUUUUUUUUAAAUAAAGUUUAUUUUUUUAAACACUUAAUUGGCUACUUGAAUUAUCAAAAUACAUGAAAAAGACUAAGGGUAGAUCUAGAGGGACUGGCAAGGUCCCGACCCCCCUUAAAAUGAAAAAUUUUCCAUUUAGACCAUUUAUAAUUUAUAAAAUUUUAAAUUGGUAAUGAUAAAAUUGCACUUCCCCCAAAUGAUAACAAUUUAAUUUAAUCCUCUAAAAAUUAUAAAAUAUAUAACUAUUAAAAUGGAAAAUUUACAUUUUUACUAUCAUAAAAAUAUAUAAUUUAUUUCCGACCACCCCAAAAAGAAUUUCUGACUUCGCCCCUGCCCCCAAGUCGUAUUUUUGGGUCUGCCACUAGAAAAGGUCUUUUGACUGUUAACUUUAACGGUUGACCGUUAAAGUUAUAGAAAAAUUAUAAAAUAUUUUUUUUAGUACGAUAAUUUUUAUAAGUUUUUUUUAUGAAUUUUAUAUUUCUUUACAUUUUUUUACAAUUUUCUUAUGACUUUAUAAAAUUUUAUAAUUUUUUCUAUAUAUAUUAUAUAUUUUUUUUACAAUAUUUAUAAAAUUUUACAGAUUUUUAUAAUUUUUUAUGAUUUUUAUAAUUUUUAAUAAAUUUUUAAUAUUUUUAUUAAAAUUUCAUCAUUUUUAUAUUUUUUUAUUGAUUUUUACUUUUUUAUCAAUUUUUUAUCACAUGUUAUGCCGUGGUUAUGAGAUGUGGUGGCUUUAAUUGAAAAAAUUAAGGGCGGUAACCGUUAAAGUUAAUGGUUAAAGAGCCUUUUUCAGUGGCAGAUCUAGAAAUAUGACUUAGGGGGUAGGGGUGAAGUUAGUAAUUUUUUAGGGGCGGAAUUAAAUUAUAUAUUUUUAUAAUAGUAAAAUACAAUUUCACCAUUUUAAUAGCUUAUAUCCUAAUAGUUUUUAGAGGAUUAAAUUAAAAUUUUAUCAUUUUGGGGGUAAAGUGUAAUUUUAUCAUUACUAAUUUAAAAUUUUAUAAAUUACAAAGGGCUUAAAAGGAAAAAAAUUCAUUUUAAUGGGAGCUAGGGCCCCUUCCAGUCCCCUCUAAAUCUGCCAUUGGCGUUUUUUCAAGUAUUUUGACAAUUUAAGUACCUAAUUGAGUGAAAAAAAAUAGACUUAAUUGCAUUUUUUCUAAAAAAAAUUGAAAGUUUUUUUUUUAAAUUCAAGUAUCAAAUUAAAUGAAAAAGAAAAUGACUUAAUUACUUUUUGAAAAAGAAUUUAAGGGAAUUUUUAUACUCUUAAACUUAAAAUAUUAAAUAUAUUAGUAUAAAAACUGUUGAGAGAAGGGAAGUCAACCUGUUAAUGAUUUAGUGUGGUGGCAAAAUUAAAAUUAAUCCUAAAAAGAAAAAGGGAUAAUUGAUGAUAAAAAUCUAAUGUAACUCUUUAAAUUGUUGCAAAUUAUCAUGACACAAGAGGUGUUUGUUAUAAAGAAGAAAAUAUUAACAUUCAAAUUGCUGUAAUAAUGUUGUAGUUAUUUCACAUAUUAGAUUUAAAAGUUGACACAUUCUUUUAGGUUUAGUAGAAAAAAUUAAAAAGUGAGAUGUAUGAUCAUAUUUAAACCUUGCUUGAACCAUGUAUAAAUGUAAUUGUCGAAACCAUUUUUAAUUUUAAAACGUGGAUCGACUUUAAAAACAUGGAUGGAGUCGCCACCAAUUCUUUUUGAGGUGUAAUUGGGCCACCUUAUAAAGUAUUUUGGUCUACGAAUGUUAAGAAAAUAGGUUCGGGAAUCAAUUACGUACGAGGAAGGAUUAGCACCCUCGUAAUGCCCAAAAUCGGUACCAAAUCGAUUAAUAAUGUCCUUAUUGUUUAAAAUUUUAAGAGAUUUUAAAAUAUAAUUCUUUUAGAAAAUAUUUGAACGGUUCGUUUUGGGAUAUUAAGGCUUAUUUGUUUUAAAAGGACAAAAUGUCACACCCAGUACGUUAGGAUGCAACAUUUUAACCCUCAAGACCCAAAUAGUCCCUUAAUUUUCCGAAACUUGAGACUAGAAGGAUAUUUAGACAUUUGGAUGACCGAAAAAAACCACAACCCAGCACGUUAGGGCACGACUCUUUCGGACUUCCAAACGCGAAACAUUGCCUUGUUUUAUAAGACUUUUGAAAACGAUCUAAAGUCAAUUAAAAAUGUAUUUAUUUAAUUUAUUUUUGAAAAAACAAAAAACUAAGAACUGGCUUAAGUGAGUUUAAAUUUGAGUCGUUAUACCAUACAAGGAAACAGGUAUGCCAUUGUGAAAUAUAUAACAAUAAUCUAAUGCAACAAUAUAAUACGACUAAAUCAUAACAGGAUUAGAAGAUAUGCAUAUAAAGUAAAAGGCAUAAUUUAAAUUGAAUAUAUACGCAAAAUAACAUAAAAAAAAAUAUUUUGAAGACCGAGGUAUACUUUGAAAUGGGAUUUAAAAGAAACAAAUGUAUGAAUAAAAUAUAAUACAUAUAUAUAUAUAUAAAAGAAUAUGGAUAGCAAGCAAUAUGAAAUCAAUAAUAAUAUAUAGUGAGGAGUAAUAAAUAAUAAUAAUUUAGUAUAAAAUAACUGAUAAAAAAAUGGUGUAUAUAAAAAAACAAUAUGAUAAGUCCAUUAAAGAAUAUAUUUGAAGGAAAAAAAAACUUUUAGGGAAAAGAAUAUAUAUAUAUAGAAGUUAUAAGUGACAAAAAAAUGGUAGUAAAUAGUAAAAAUAAUGAAGAAAAUAAGAAGUAUGAUAAACUAUAUUUAAAAUUAUGAGCCUAAAAAAAAAUAAAUAGUAUAAAAAUGCUUAUUAGUAAAAAAAAUAUAACAAAUAAUAUAAUAAAUAUGAUGAAAAUUUAUACAUAAAAUAAUUAACUUUGUUAAAAAAAUACCUAUAAUAAGCAUAUAACAUAAAAUGAUAUAAUAAUGUAAAAUAUAACUCAAACAAAUUAAAUUAACAGAGAAAAAAAAAUAAAAAUAAGGCUCAAAUUAAUUAAGUCAACGGUAAAAUGACAAAAGAGCAAGGAAAAAAAGGUUAAAUUGCAGUGAAACAGGAGUUUCGGGGCGAACUUUAGAAAACAAAAGCCACAUGGGGUAAAAUGAACGUACGGGCUAAGAGGGAGGACCAGGAAAGCAAAUUUCCUCAUACUUCAAAGCGCAGUGUUUUGGUAUAGGACGAAAUGCGAUAAAAUCCAAGUUUUUGGGCCAAAUCGUAAUUAGCCAAAGUUCAAAAGGGUCCGAAUUAAAAGCUAGAGUAACAGGGAGGGAUCAAUUGCAAAAUAACCCUUCCCAAAAAAUCAAGGCACCAAACGGUGCUACUUUAUAAACUUAUAAAGCAAAAACUUGCAAAAGAGUUACAUCUAGCAUCUUUAAAUUUUAAAAAAGAAACCCCCAUUUUUGCCUUGCUAAAGAUUUAACCAAGUUUAGCACUGUAUUUGAGGGUCAUCGGUGCCAUGCACCUCUGCCUCUAUCGGCGCUUCACGGAGCAAAAUUGGGUAAGCCUUCUUCUUUUAGUUUUAUUCAAAAUCGAUUUAUCAAAAUAUGAAAGAACAAAAAGAAAUAAAAAGGGAAGGAAAAAAAGUCUGGUAAAAGAAUGAAAAGUAACCUCUUAAACCUUGAAUCUCACUUUGAUUGCUAUUGCUUGUUCUCUUUGUAUCCAGGGAAAAAAAUCCGUUUCCAAAUAUAUUGUUUAUCUUAAGCUUUAUAGCCUUGUUUUACAAUUGUUUUUGCUGCAGGCAAGGCUGACGUGGGAGCCGUGGGUGCGAGGGAGUCUGGGGCACGAGGCGUGUUGGACGUGAGUGUCGACGGGGUGCGCAAGAUCCGGCUGCUAGGAACUAUUUGCGGCUGCUACUCCUCAGGCUAGGAUUUCCCAUUUUUGCUUUUUUGGUUUUGGGCUUGUUUAGUGGGUUUGUGUUUGUAUUGGGCUAGGUUUUGUUUUAGUGGUUAAUUUGUUUAGGCCUAGGUUUGGGUUUGUUUAAAAAUUUGGUCCUACAGCUGCCCCUCUUUGCUCAUUGUCGUGUAAUGAGAAUAGAGCAAAGAUUUUAGGAGGACCAAAUUUGCUUGGGCUGGCUGAGUCUUGUCUUUUUUGCCACAGCCCACCGCACUUUAUUGCUUCAAAAAUGCUCAUUUGCUGCUUCAUAUAAAUGAGGUUUGCUGAAAUUUGAUCUGCUCCGCUCUUGCUCGGUGAAGAUAAGAUCCGCUGUAUCUGACCUGCUCCACUCUUGUUCAGUAGAGAUAAGAUCUGAUAUAUUUAGCCUGCUUCACUCCUGCUCAGUGAAGAUAAGUCUGAUGAUUGGAAUCUGCUCCAUCGCUAGUACAGGGAGAUAAGAUUCACCAAAAUUCGAUCUACUCUGCUCCUGCUCAGCGAAGAUAAGAUCUGCUAUACUUAGCCUGCUUCACUCCUACUCAGUGAAGAUAAGGCUGAUGAUUAGAAUCUGCUCCAUUGCCGAUACAUGGAGAUAAGACUCGCCAAAAUUUGAUCUGCUUCACUCCUGUUCAGUGAAGAAAAGAUCGGGUAUUUUAGCCUGCUCCACUCCUGCUCAGUGAAGAUAAAGCUGAUGGCUGAAAUCUGCUCUACUCCUGCUCAGUGAAGAUAAGACUGGUGGCUGAAAUCUGCUCCACUCCUGCUCAGUGAAGAUAAGACUCGCCAAAAUUUGAUCUGCUUCACUCCUGCUCAAUGAAGAUAAGAUCGGGUAUGUUUAGCCCGCUUCACUCCUACUCAGUGAAGAUAAGGCUGAUGAUAUCUGUCUUUUUAAUCAAUCCUGCUACAUUGUCUACUGGGGAUCCUAUCUGUAGAAGAGUGAUUUUAUGCUUAUGCUAGAUGUUUAGGAUGCCAUGAUUAAUCAAUGCUCCUAACUAGAUGUAUUAUGGAUAUUUAAAUGCAUAAAUGCAAAAUGUCAUGAGAAUGAUCAUUUUAAUUUUUAGGCUGUUAUCGCUUGUUGUUUGCUAUGGUAACAUCCCUGAUGUAUGCCUUCUCAUCCAGCUUAAUAAAAGAGGGCUUGAGGAUACUGUAAGUACCUUUUCCUUCACACGUUUCUAGCUCUUUAAGCCUGGUGAGUUUUAAAUAAUUGUCCUAUUUCAGGAUCUUGUAUUGUUUAGAAAUCUUUCAGAGUAAAACGUAAAACCUUUUUUGAGAACAUUGUUAGUUCAUUAAUCAUUAUUUCAAUAUAAAACGCUUGAAAAAGAUCAUAAGGGUAAAUGGAACUAAAAUUUAUUCGAGUCCUAGUUCACGAAAUAUGUACUAAAGAAAGAAAGCAUUGAUUAUUUGAAAUACAAAAAUGGAUAAAAAGAACAAAUAGGUGCCCUAGAUUCCGCAGUUUGAGCUUCUCUGAACGAACUACUCGAAGACCAUUCUACACUUGACAUGUGCUCAAGGGAUCUAUAGCAUUUUGUCGAUGCCCCAAGAUGUAGCCCAUCCUUUCUUUGUCAAUUCUAGUGUAACGAAACUGCUACUUGCCCCAGUCUGGAUCAAUUUUUGAAUUGCCCUUUGUGGGUUUUCAAUUCAAAACCCUUUUGGUCUCAAUGCGCCCUUUUACGGGUUUUCACCUUGGCCUCUCCCUUUUUUUUUUGGCGCCCUUUACGGGUUUUCACCUCAACUGCUCCAAGUAAAAUAUCUUUUGACAGAAUCUGAAUUUAUAGGGUUAGGCAAGCUCUUGCCAUCCAUUUCUGCUAGUAUCAAUGCCCCUCUAGAGAAAUCUUUUUUUACCACAUAGGGUCCUUCCCAAUUUGGCAUCCAUUUCCCCCUGAAAUAUUUUUGCAUAGGGAGAAUAUUUUUCAAUACUAAGUCCCCUUCAUGGAACACCCUAGGGUGAACUUUUUUGUUGUAGGGUCGUAUCAUUCUCCUCUGGUACAUUUGACCAUGACGAAUAGCCUUCAGCCUUCUCUCUUCAAUCAAGUUUUGUUGAUCGUAACGAGAUUGGAUCCAUUCUGCUUCGUCUAACUUCAACUCUGAUAAAACUCAGAGAGAAGGGAUUUCGACCUCAAUAGGUAAAACUGCCUCCAUCCCAUAAACCAAUGAGAAAGGUGUUGCCCCGGUAGAAGUUCUGACAGAUGUCCGAUAAGCAUAAAGGGCAAAUGGGAGCUUUUCAUGCCAAUCUUUGUAGGUCUCUGCCAUUUUUCUUACAAUCUUCUUGAUAUUCUUAUUAGCUGCCUCAACCGCCCCAUUCAUUUUUGGGUGGUAUGGCGACGAGUUGUGAUGUUUAAUGUUGAACCGACCGCAGACUUCUACUAUUGUGCUAUUAUUCAGAUUCAAUGCGUUGUCAGAUAUGAUUUUUCUGGUAUACCAUAACGACAUACGAUCUCCUUCUUUAGGAACUUACUGACCGCCGACUUUGUGACAUUGGCGUACGAAGCAGCCUCCACCCAUUUGGUAAAGUAGUCAAUGGCCACAAAAAUGAAUCGAUGUCCGUUGGAAGCCUUUGGCGAAAUCGGCCCAAUGACGUCUAUACCCCACAUUGAGAAUGGCCAUGGGGAAGCCAUAACAUGGAGGGGGUGAAGGAGGCACAUGGAUCUUGUAUCCAUAAAUUUGACACUUAUGGCACUUCUUAGCGUAAUUGAUGCAAUCUCCUUCCAUUGUGGACCAGUAAUAUCCGAAUCUCAUGAUUUGUCGAGCCAUUGUAAAACCAUUGGCAUGUGUCCCACAGAUGCCAUCAUGGACUUCCUCUAGAAUUUUCUUUGCCUCAACAACGUCAACACAUCUUAGCAACACCUGAUCCUUUCUUUUAUUAUAUAGGACCUCACCGUCCAAGACAUAGUCACUGGCUAACCUCCUCAAUGUUCUUUUAUCAUUUUUGGUUGCUUGAUCUGGGUAUGCACGGCUCUUCACAUAUUGUAAGAUAUCAUGAUACCAAGGAUGAUCAUAUCUCUCUUCCUCUUCAUCGACAUUAUAGCAAUGAGCCGGAGCCUCACAGAUACUCAUUUGAAUUGGCUUUAUAUCCUCCUGUUCAUUUACUUUGAUCAUGGAAGCCAGUGUAGCCAAGGCGUCAGCCAUCUGAUUCUCGUCUCGUGGGAGGUAAUAAAAGGUAAUAUCACCAAACUCUUCAAUUAAUUCUAGGAUUAACUUUCGGUAACUGAUCAAUUUAGGAUCUCUCGUUUCCCACUCGCCUUUAAGAUGAUAAAUUACCAAUGCAGAAUCUCCAUACACUUCUAAUACUUUGAUUUCGCGGUCUAUAACUGCCCGAAUUCCCAUGAUACAUGCCUCGUAUUCUGCCAUGUUGUUUGUGCAGUCAAAAUCCAGCUUGCAAGUGAAUGGAUAAUGGUCUCCAUUUGGGGAUAUCAGUACUGCCCCAACUCCAUUUCCAACGGCAUUUGAUGCUCCAUCAAAAUUUAAUUUCCAAGAAUGAUCUUGUGACAGCCCUAAAGUGACCCUAGUCGGAAAGCGGUUUCGAGACCGCUAAACCGAGUCACCAAAUUAUUUGAAUAUGGUAAUUAUUGUCUAAAAUAUGUGAAUAUGAAUGUGUGAAAGUUUUAAGCUUCGAUGUAGUUAAUUGCAUGUGAAUUUAGUUAAUAGGACUUAUGUGUGACACUUUUGAAAUGUGAUAGGUUAAUCUAUAAGGAUCUAUUAGUGCAUGUAAUCAAAAGGGUAGACUUGCAUGUCAAUUUCCCCACUUAAUUGGUAGUGGCCGGUCAUGACAAUGAGGGUGGACAAAAUGUGAUGGGCAAAACAUGUCAUAAACAUGUUAUGUUAGUGUUUUAUGUUAGAAAGAAUAAAAUAAAAGGCUAGUAAUAAAGUAAUGAAAAGGGAGGGGUGAUGAAAACAAAGUUGUCUCAUCCAUGCUCCCCCCCAUUGCCGUGACUUGAAGAAAAAAAAAAGAAAGAGUUCUCAUGUUGUUCAACUUGGCCGAAUAGAAGAAAGAAAAAGAAGGGAAAGAGCUUGGAGAAAAUCGGCUAUGGUGGUUCAUUAGACUAAGGUAUGUUGAUGUUGUUCCAUGAGAUUCAUGCAUGUUUUUAGUUGUUAGCUUGAGUUCUACCUAGCCCAUGGUUUAAAUCUUUGCUAUGAGAUGGACAUGAUAUUCGGCCAUGGGUGUUGUCUUCUUGGUUGAUGUUUGAUGUUGUGGUGAUGAGGCAUGGAGAUGAGCUAAGUUUCGGCUAAGGUGGACUUGUGUUGAUGUCAUUUGCAUGAUAAGUGUGAAGCUUUGUAGUGAUACAUGUUAUGGUGAUUGAUGACUCUUGGAUUUUCUUUUUAGCAUUUUUGAGUUAGACAUUAAGUUCUUUGUUUAACCCAUGACCAAAAUUGAAAUGGUAUGGUGUCUUGAAUCAUUCGAUCAUCUUAUGUUAAUAUUAAGGUAUGUUAAUGCUCUUUCAUUGAAAAUCUUUGUAUAUUUGGAGUGGUCAUCAAGUAUAGAAACUAGCUCAUGGCAAAUGUUUUUGUAAAGUUAUGAAGAUGACAAUCGGUCAUGGAUGUUUGUAUUUCUUUGAUGUUGUUUUUGAUGCUUUAGUGUAUUGAGGGUUGAUUAUAGAUGAGUUGAGCUUGGUAAAAUUAAAUGUUUGUGGCUUAAUUGCUUAAUGACAAUCGGCUAUGUUGAAAUGCUAAAUUAGUGCUAAAUUGUAAGUAUUUAAUUGAGUGUUAGCCGAAAUUGAGCUUAUGAUAGUAAUUAGAAUUUGUGAAAUUUAUGCAUUUUGUGGUCCAAGUGUGAUAAGAACCAUACGGUUAUGGCAUAUAAGCAUGAAAUCGAGUCAUGGCAUGUUUUAUUAAUUAUGAUACAUAUUGAAAUCUAUUGUUUUAGAUAUAGAUUAAAUGAUAUGUGAUUGCCAGAUGUGAUUGUUAAGUGAAUAAUAUUAGUUAAGUACUUAAGCAAAUCUAUUGUUUUACUUAAGCUUAAGAGCAAAGAGGAUCAAAGUCGGAUAGGGGAAAAGAGAAAGUAAACGAAUAGCCGUGGAUAUCUAGUCGCCGACCACUUCCGAGGUAAGUUUUAAGUGAUUAAACGUUGAGUAAAUUCAAUUAUAAUAGGACAUGAUAAAUUGAUUUAAUAAGAUAUGAUGUGGCCAUGUUAUGUUCUAAGCUCAAAUGGUAAGUUCUUAAGUGGUUGAGCUUGGGAAUUUAAGUGUAAUUUGAAAUAGUCUGCUUAGGACAGCAGUAGUAACGUCACUUUAGAAAAUCACCAUAAAUUUAUGGACUUGAAUUAGAGGCUGAAUGACACAUUAAAUUAAAGCUUAAUGAGUCUAGUUUCUUAUAAAAGAAACCGUGUAAGCAAAGGAAUUUCCGAUAAUGAGAUAUUUAAAGUUGUGUGAGACAGUGCAGAAUGACACUGUAAUCCUCUAUUCUGUUUUUAGAAAAUCAUUAUAAAUUGUACAAAAAUUUUUAAAAGACAAAAUUUAUAUUCUAGAUGCCUUAGUGAGUCUAGUUUCAAAUGAAAUAAACUAGAACAUAUUUUGAAUUUUUUACAAUGAGGAAUUUGAUUCGUAGUGAAGAGUGGUCAGCAUAGUCAAAUAGUGAAAUAGUGGAAACUUGAAGAAAAAUCUGGCAUUGAUUGGCCAAACUAAAAAUUCUGAAAAUUUGUUGGAUAAAAUAUGUAUGAGUCUAUUUUCAGGGAAAAUUAACGGUACUUCAUUUGGAGUUUCGUAGCUCUAUUUACGAAUAAUUUAAUGACUGUUGCUCAGGAAAAACAGCUUGUGCUGAAUUUGUGAUUAUGUUGUAAACCUUAAUAAAACUAUUUGAGUUGCUUAUAAGCUAUCGAUUAAAUAUUGGUAAUCAAAGUACCAAAUCCGUAUUAAAGUGAAGCUAUAAGCCGUAAAUGACUAGUAUACCUAGUCAAUUUUGUUAUGAUGAAAUUGAUGUACAAGGUGUAUAUAUGUGAUAAGGCCGAAUGGCCAAUGUGAUGAAUGUGAAAGUGUAUAUAUGUGAUAAGGCCUAAUGGCCAAUGUGAGGAAUGUGAAAGUGUAUAUGUGAUAAGGCCGAAUGGCCAAUGUGAUGAAUGUGAAAGUGUGUAUAUGUGAUAAGGCCGAAUGGCCAAUGUGAUGAAUGUGAAAGUGUAUAUAUGUGAUAAGGCCUAAUGGCCAAUGUGAGGAAUGUGAAAGUGUAUAUAUGUGAUAAGGCCGAAUGGCCAAUAUGAUGAAUGUGAAAGUGUGUAUAUGUGAUAAGGCUGAAUGGCCAAUGUGAGGAAUGUGAAAGUGUGUAUAUGUGAUAAGGCCGAAUGGCCAAUGUGAGGAAUGUGAAAGUGUGUAUAUGUGAUAAGGCCGAAUGGCCAAUGUGAUGAAUGUGAAAGUGUGUAUAUGUGAUAAGGCCGAAUGGCCAAUGUGAUGAAUGUGAAAGUGUGUAUAUGUGAUAAGGCCGAAUGGCCAAUGUGAUGAAUGUGAAAGUGUGUAUAUGUGAUAAGGCCUAAUGGCCAAUGUGAUGAAUGUGAAAGUGUGUAUAUGUGAUAAGGCCUAAUGGCCAAUGUGAUGAAUGUGAAAGUGUGUAUAUGUGAUAAGGCCGAAUGGCCGAUGUGAUGAAUGUGAAAGUGUAUAUAUGUGAUAAGGCCGAAUGGCCAAUGUGAUGAAUGUGAAAGUGUAUAUAUGAGAUAAGACCUGAUGGCCGAUGUGAUGGAUGUGAAGGUGUAUAUAUGUGAUAAGGCCGAAUGGCCAAUGUGAUGGAUAUGAAAGUGUAUAAAUGUGAUAAGUCCCGAAGGGCAUUUGUGUCAGUACUAUAUCUGGGUUAAAACCCCGCAGGCUUUAUGCGAGAAUAUUAUCCUGAUUAAUGUCCGUAGGCUUCGUGCUCGUACUAUAUCCGAGCUUUAAAGACCCGACGGCUAAAUGCUAGGAUUCAAGUAAGACUUUGGUAUUGAGUAUCUGCAAUAAGUUACCAUCAAAUAAGUAUUAUGUAUUUAAGACGUUCAGGUACGUAUUACUUACUCAUCGGUAGAGUGAUUUCGAAGUGAAUUAUCAGUAUCAAAGAGGUAGGUAAAUGUGAUUAAUAUUACAACUCUAAAUAUGAGAAUGAUCUAAUUGGUAAUGGUAUGCUUGUAUAAUGAAGUAUGUGAUGAAAUAUUUUUAUGUAUUAGUGCAUAUUCUGCCCAAAAGCCUUAUGAUUUGAGUAUGGGUUGGGUUCAGCUAGAUGUGCCAGUGCAAGGUAAGGAUUAUGUUUUGUAAGCUUACGUAUACGUUAUAAGGAAUACGUUUGGUUCUUUAUGUGCCUACGGUAAUUUAGUACUUGUCAUGUGGAAAUACUUAAAAAUAUGGAUGUGAUUAUGAACAAGUGGAAAAGAUUAUUGUAAGUUGAAAAUUGAUGAAGAAUGUGCUUUGGAAAUAUUUGACCAUCUAGGUCAUUAUCAUUCGAAAGUAUAUAUGUGACAGCCAAGUGAUGCGUUUAUUGAUAUUAUAGUUCGAGAUGAAGCUCUAGAUUAACUUCAUCGAACAGUAGAAAUGAAUGACCAUUGAUAGUGAAUGAGAACACUUUGUUUUGCUUAAAACUUACUAAGCUUACAAAAGCUUACUCUGUUCGAUCAUGUUUUGGUUUAUAGGUUGUGGAUUCUGACUACCAGCUCGGGGAUCAUCAGCACUUCGUCACACUAUCUACCACUAUGGCAACUAUGUAAUUUGACUUAGCUUAUGGCAUGUAUAGGAUAGACAAUAUAGUAGAAUGAUAUUUUGACUAUUGUAUAUAAGCCAUAUGAAAAUGGCAUCUUUUGGAUGUUUACAUAUAGAAGUUUACAUUUUAUCCUUGGCUGAGUUUAGUGUUUAUCCAAAUGAAUGAAGAAGAAAAAUCAAAAAAAAAGUAAAAAAAAAGUUUUACCGUUCUGUCAUGAGUUACAAGUCUGGUAAUGCCCCUUACUUAUUCCGGCGAUGGUUACGGGAUAGGGGUGUUACAGAUCUUCAGACAUGUCUCCUUCAGCGAUUGCUACAUACAUCAGAUCUUCAUUGGGAAAACUGAAAUUUAAAGGUUCAUAGUCCUCUAGAGCUUUACUGGCUAGGAAGUCUGCUAUUGCACUCCCCUUCACAGCUUUUUGGUUUACAUAGACUAUAUCAAAUUCAGAGAGCAGAAUCUGUCAUCGGGCCAUCCUUCCAUUUAAAGUGGUUGAUUCCAUCAUGUAUUUGAGAGGGUCUAGCUUUGAGAUUAGCCAAGUUAUAUGGUACAAUAUGUAUUACCUCAACCUUUGUGUUGUCCAAACCAAAGCACAGCAUAGCUUCUCAAUUGGCGGAUAACUCAUUUCACACUCAGUGAAUUUUUUACUGAGGUAGUAUAUCGCUCUUUCUUUUCUCCCAAUCUCAUCGUGUUGGCCGAGCACACACCCCAUUGAAUUUUCAAAUACUGUUAAGUACAGUAUCAAUGGUCUGCCAGGGCUUGGUGGUGCUAGCACUGGGGGACUGGACAAAUAUUGUUUAACAUUUUCAAAGGUUUUUUGGCAUUCAUCAUCCUAUACCCCAGGAUUAUGCUUUUUAAGAAGACGGAAUAUGGGGUCACACUUCUCAGUCAGCUGCGAAAUAAACCGUGCGAUAUAGUUUAGUCUCCCUAGGAAACCUCAGACUUCUUUCUGAGUUUGUGGCGGUGGCAGCUCUUGAAUAUCCUUGACUUUAUCAGGGUCGACUUCUAUUCCCUUCUCACUGACUACGAAGCCGAGUAACUUUUCGAACCUAGCUCCAAAGGUGCAUUUUGACGGAUUGAGGUUUAAUUGGAAUUUUCUCAACCUCAGGAACAAUUUUCUCAACACUCGCACAUGCUCCUCUUCAGUUCGGGAUUUUGCAAUCAUGUCCUCAACGUAGGCUUCAAUUUCCUUGUGCAUGAUGUCAUGAAACAAGGUUACCAUGACUCUUUGGUAUGUGGCUCCUGCAUUUUUCAACCCGAAGGGCAUCACCUUGUAGCAAAACGUUCCCCAUAAAGUUAUGAAUGUGGUUUUUUCCAUAUCCUCAAGAUGCAUCUUAAUCUGAUUGUACGCGGAGAACCCAUCCAUAAAGGAGAACAGUGAAUAGCCUGCCGUAUUAUCCACUAGAGUGUCUAUGUGAGGCAAUGGAAAGUUAUCCUUUGGGCUGGCUUUAUUUAAAUCUCUGUAAUCUACACACAUCCGUACUUUCCCAUAUUUCUUAGGGACAGGGACGACAUUGGCCACCCAUUCUGAAUAAUUGACCACCUGUAGGAAUCCAGCAUUAAACUGCUUCUUGACUUCUUCCUUUAUUUUUAUUGCUACAUCGGGUCUCAUCCUCCGGAGCUUCUGCUGAACUGGCUUACACUCCUUUUUUGUAGGGACACGGUGUACUGCGAUAUCGGUACUUAAACCAGGCAUAUCCUGAUAUGACCAUGCAAAGACGUCCUUGAAUUCUUGCAACAGCUCAAUAAGGUUCUGUCUUGUUUUCUCGUUAACGCAAGUGCCAAUUUUAACUUCCCUCCCCUUUUCCAGGGCCACAAUCUCAAUAGUCUCUUUGUGUGGCAGGAUCUGCUCCUCUUCUCGCUCCACCAUCCUUAACAAAUCGGGAGAUAAACCACAAUCCUUGUCCUCUUCAAAAUCCUGAAGUCCCUCAAAGCACAUGUCUCGCUCGAAAGGAAAUUUCGGGCUCGUAUCAGCAUUACUCAUGACGUUGACAUCUGGGGGCCUAUUAUGAGUAUAAGAGAAUACCCAAAAAAAAUAAGAUGAAUAAUUCCUUUGUAUGUUAUGAUUGUGUAUGAAAUAAAAAGGAAGAAAAAAUAAUUGCUCGAACUGAUAUAUGAAAAUGCAUUUUUUAUUGAAAAUAAUAAUGUUUGAACAUGAGCCUAUUUCACAAAAGAUUCUUAUUGUCCCUAGGCUAGAAGACAACAAGUGGGUUUUGAAUAUUACCCUGUGUUAGCUCUAAAGAUUACAGGAAUUUCUUCCACAGUCCAGUUAUUCAAAACACUCCCAGGCUCAUACGGGUAAAUGCCCGAUAAAUUCCUUUCCAUUGCUUCCUCUUAAAACGUGGCGUUGAUGUUCCAAAUUCCUAUCACAUCCUCGACCAUUCCUUCUUUUAUCCUCUCCGGUGCAGAAUGAAUAAACCCUCCGGAUACAAAUGUUUGGAAAAUAUGGGGGAAGCUCAUCGGUUCCCACCUGACUUCUGUCUCACUCAAUCUUGCUCUCCGCUGUUCCUGUUUCUUUUCAAACUCCUUCUUCACUUGGCUUGCAUCUGGCCUGAAUCCCAAACCGAAGCGAUCCCACUUGCCAACCAAGACUGGCAUUCUAACUUGUCCACGGAGGUGCCUUCCGAGUCCUUUGCUAGGUAAUGCCCCUUUCCCAACUGUCAGUUGCAGGCUCAUUUUCAUAGCCCCUGACAUCUUAGGUAUUGGAAUCCUGCUUCCUUCAGCUAUAAACAUUGCAUUUACAAACUCUAAUGAUCGAAAUGAACAUUCAACCGCUUCGUUGUCAUUCUCUACGUAGGGUGCAUCACUGGUAACUGACGCAAUAAUGUCCUCCUCCGCAUUUAUUGUUAUUAGCCGACCCUCAGUAACCAUCUUUAGCUUCUGGUGCAGCGAGGAUGGCACUGCCCUAGCUGAGUGAAUCCAAGGUCUUCCUAAUAGACAAUUAUAGGAAGGCUUAAUAUCCAUCACGAGGAAAUCUACCUCGUACGCAUUUGGGCCAAUCUGAAGAAGUACCUCUAUCCUUCCCAUUACUUUUCUUUCUGUGCCAUCAAAAGCUCUUACUAUGUUCUGACACGUCUUCAUAUGGGAAUUGUCUAUAGGUAAACGGUUUAACGUAGCCCAAGGUAACACAUUCAAUGCGGACCCAUUAUCAACUAGUACUCCGGGUAGCGUAUACCCCUUGCAACGUGUAGUGAUAUGCAGAGCCUUAGUAGACCCCCUACCCCCUAAUGGUAUCUCAUUAUCGCUGAAGGAGAUGAAAUUGUCAGCACUUAUGUUACCGACAAGAUGAUCCAGUUUAUUAAUCGAAAUGUCAUCCGCAACAUAGGUUUCGUUCAACACUUUCAUCAAUGCGUUGCGGUGGACUUCCAAAUUUAACAGCAGAGCCUAUAUCGAUAUGCGAUCCGGCUGUUGGUGUAGUUGUUCCACAACACUAUACUCGUUGUGUCUUAGGAACUUCAAGAACUCUUUGGCUUCAUUUUCCAUUACUGGCUCAUUAACCAGUGGUUCUGAUAUCUCUACUUCUUGCUUGAGCAUGACGAGUUUCCUUUUUGCUGGUUCAGCUUUUGUGUUUGGCGUGUUAAUCGAACCCUCCUUCUCUACAACUGCUAUACUACAAUUAUAAUUCCAAGGCACUCUAUGACUAUCUUUAUAAGGGGAAACUGUUGGCUUCUGGAUUAUAACUCUUGGUGUAACUCUUACUUCUACUUUACUAACUCUGGGCUUCGAAAUAAUUAUCACUGGACGGCUGGCUCUACAGCCUUCUUCACUCGACUCUUCUCCUAGAGAGCAUACAUCCUCCUCUUCGAUAGACUCGAGGAACUCCAAUUCCUUAUUAUCCAUUAGACCCUGUACUAGGGCCCUGAACUCAAUACAAUUCUAGAUCUCGUGAUCUUUCUCAUGAUGGAACUCACAGUAUUUCCAUGUAUCUUGGAUUUUAUCCCUUAACCCCUACGGGACUAAACCUCUCUUCUGCAUUUCCUACCAAACUAGCUUCAAUGGGGUUCUCACCUCCGCGAUAUUUAGCUUGACUUUCCUCCCCAUAUUCUCAAUUAUCGCGUUUACCCUUUUAUCAGUAUGUUUGGGCAACGGAUUUCCCGUACCAGGUGUAUCAUCAAAUUUUACAACACCUGCUUUGAUAAGCCUUUCUACACACCUUUUGAACGAGGUACAGUUUUCUAUCGAGUGCCCCGUAAUCCCCACGUGGUAUUCGCACUGAGUAUUUGCAUCAUACCGUUUAGGGUAUGGGGGUUGUAACGGUUCUAAGUGGAAAGGGGCCACUACGUGUGCAUCAAAUAACUUUUUGUAGAGCUCCCUAUACGUCACUGGUAUGGGAGUGAACUGGAACCUCUCUGUAUUCUGCCUUGUAUUAGGCUCUCGCCUUGGUGCGGCCUGUUGGCCUGUGACUAUCGUUCUCGAUUGGUUAACCGUGACAGGUUUUGAAUACCUUGAGCUCACAUUACCUACCUUAUUUUCUCUUUUCUUCGGGGCUGACCUUCUUGUGCUUUCUCCCAUUUCUAUCUUCCCACAUCUUAUCGCAUUUUCUAUUAUUUCGCCUGACGUCAUUAUGUCUGCGAAACUUUUAGUUGCGCUUCCCAGCAUAUGAUUGAUGAAAGGUGCCUUCAAUGUAUUGACAAACAGCAUGGUCGUUUCUUUUUCCAGUAGUGGUGGUUGAACUUGUGUGGCAACUUCCCUCACCUAUGGGCAUACUUCCUAAAACUUUCACCCGGUUUCUUCUCCAUGUUUUGUAACGUGAUCCUGUCAGGUGCGAUAUCCGUUACAUGGCCAUAUUGCUUCAUGAAGGCCUGAGCUAAGUCUUUCCAUGAUUUUGAUUUGGGUACAACUUAACUGAUUGUACCAUUUCGCCGCAGCCCCAAUCAAACUAUCUUAAAAACAGUGAAUCAACAGCUGAUCAUUGUUGACAUACCCCGUCAUUCUCUGGCAGAACAUUGUAAUGUGAGCCUCCGGGCAGCUGGUUCCAUUAUACCUUUCAAAUUCUGGCAUCUUGAAUUUCGGAGGGAGUACUAAGUCCGGUACCAAACUCAAUUCCUUAGCAUCAACCUCGCAAUAAUAAUCUGUACCUUCUAAUGCCUUGAACCUCUCUUCUAACCACUUGCAAUGGUCUUCGAACUGUUUUGGGAGCUCAGCCCUUGCUUUUUCAUUUUCUUCAACAUCGUCGAGGUCGGGGAUAGUUGGUUUUGCCAAAUUAUCACCCGGAUUAGAACUUGAGCCUGUUGGGAGAUUCCCCAGUGCUGAAGUACCAGAUUGAUACUAAGGUCUAAUAUUAACAGACACCUUGGGUGGUUGGGCACUUGCUGGGGCAAAUCCAGGAGGACAUGUGGAGUCUUCAUUGUCGUCCCCACUAUUACCCAUAGGGCCUUUUCCCUUGUCAGACCCCCCUUCAACAGCUGUGUUAGCUGGCUCAUCAUGUUGUUCUGUGACUCAGCAUGUUUUUCUGGGACUCUAGCAUUUGAUCCUUCAUCUCCUGCUGGAUCCUAGCCAGCUGUUCUUGCAUCUGAGCUUGCAGUUGCUCCUGUAUUUGUUCUAAUUUCUCUAACCUCUUAUCCAUAUCCCUUAUUUUCCUCCGUGUAUAGUAGCGAUGUUCCAGGGUAACUAGAUAAAUUAUUACUAAUUAAUAGGGUUCUUUUGUGUAACUUAAUGCAUAUGAUGCGAUGUGAUGUAAAUGUAUGAAAUGAAUGCAAAACUAAGAAGGCGUCAAUUCUGAUUCAAUUUCUUUUAAAAGAACUUUAUUGGAAAACAGAAAACUUUACAUAAAACGGGUUAUAUAUACGGCCUAGCCCUUAUGCCCAAAGUUUUAAUUCUCUCGAGAAGCCCAGCUAGCUCUCGACCUCGAUCUGACUCUAAUUCAUACUUUACACUUAACACGUCAACUUGAACUGCUAGAGUUUGCAAAUGCUCCGCUACCUCUCGAAUCUGAGCCACGGCCUCAUCCAUGAUGCGAUUUCUGUCCCUAACCUGGUUCUGAGAUCUAUGUAGCAGCUCUUUCCAAUGCUCAUUAUCUGACUCAAGAAGUUGAAUUUGAAGUUCACGGUUCUGAAGUUCGGUCUCAAGUUCUUCUAUCUUCCCUCUCAAAUCCUCAAUCCUGUUUAAGCUUGCCUUCAGCUCUACUGCAGAGUUGCGACUACGAGAUUGAUGAAGCGCCAUCUCUAACUACUCUACUUGAGCUCUUAACAUUUGUUUUUCAUUCUGGCUUUCAACCAAACUCUUUUUUAAAAUGCUCUCUCGUGCACAAGUAUCAUGAAAUCUUUUUUCCCAUUGUUCGGCUUUAGACCUUUCCUCUUGGACCUCUUAUCGCCAUUGCUCUGACGUCUUUCCCAGUCCAGCAUUUCUCAUUGACUUAUGUAGCUACCGGUAAUCGGUCUUCAAAGCGUCCAAGUCCUCAUCAGCUUUUCUUUUCCCUUUUCGCAGUUUCUCAGCCUCGAGUUUCUGAACGUCGAUAUCUAACCUUAGAUGCAUCAUCACUUCCUCCAACUAAUCUAUCUUCUUUCCUAACUCUGAAUUUCUCCUUUUGAAGUCUUGUUUUAUAAUUUCCAGCUCGGAAGGAAUGACUCGUAAGUGUUCUUCCAUCGAUUGGACGCCUUCUAGACUUGGCCUCGGAAUAUUAUCAUUGAUCCUCUUACUCAACCACCUACUGUACUCAGGAGUCGUCAUUGGGCAUCUAGUCAACUUCUUCAUUCGGGGUGUCUGUUUCCAGACAUCGGAGAUUUCUCGAACUCUCUUAUUAUAAUUAUCCCCUUUACACAAAAAUUCACUAUGAACAAACCCAUGUGUCGCAGGUACAAACUGCUCUAACUCAUACUGCCUUAACACCAACAAAGGGGCAUCCCCAACAACUUCCCAAACUCCAAGCAGAGGUACCCAGUCAAAAUUUCCUCACCGGUAGAGGACUUCAUCGGGAACCAUCCAAGGGGCCUUCCAUUCCACAUCUUUUUCUUGGAGAUUUUGGAGAAUUGUCAUCCACCUUUCUUCUGAUAUGUCGUCCCUCAUGGGCGUAGCUGCUAUCUCCUUCAAAGGGGAAUAAUUUUAAAAGAAAACUCGAUUCGGCCUUCUGUGAACUUUCCAGAAAUGGCCAUGGAACCAAACCAAUAAUAAUUGCGUGCAUCCCACGAAUCUUCCCUCACCUGCCCUUCGACACGCAUUUAAAGAUCUGAAUGUCUCUGCUAGAAUUGAUGGUACCGGUGUAGCCCGUUUGGCAAGCUGAUCAAAUAAAUCAGUGACGUCGAUAUGUCGUAACGCUUUGGGAAAGAUCACUAACCCAUAAAUGCUCAAGGCAAAAACGUCAACCUUCUUCUUUGCAUCUGGAUGUGCCAGGAUUAAGUCUCUCAAGUUCACCCAAUGAAUGCAUUUCCCCUCAACUUUUUGUUGAAUCCGGGCUGUAACCCACUGCUCACUCAUCCCAGUGACGUUCAUUAGCUUCUUUACAAAACUUGGUACAUUGGGGACCUUAACAUACACUCUGUCCGUUUGAAACCUUGGACAACGCAACAGGGCUGAAUACUCCUCCACGGUUGGCACCAAGUCUACUUUCCCGAAGGUGAAACAACUAUAUGCGGGGUUCCAAAACUGAUUCAUAGCUCGAAACAAGUACUUGUCUACCUUAAUGUCGAGCAUGUAAGGCAGAUCACCGUAGUUGUAGUAGAACAAUUUCUUGGUCUCAUCAUUCCAGUGGGCCCAUAUAUUCCUCAAUUCUUGGAGCUCAUUCUGUGUCACACUAAUACGGGUGAAGUCCUAUAAUUCCGACGCGUACCCCUUUGCCAGGCUAUCCCCUUUCUCGAGCUGAGCAUUCUCUGACCAUGCACGGACAACCGCAUUAUCCCCCACUUUAUCAAGAAGUCCGCUCUCCAUGACAAGCUCUCUAAGUUAGUAAUCGAACAGGUAUUGACACCUUCCUAAAUAUGAAAUGACAUGCAAUCAUGGCAAAAAUAAAACACAACAAGUUAGUAUCAAAUAAUAAAAAUCAAAGCAAGCAAGAAAUAAUCAAAAACCUAUUUGGGUAAUCACUAGAAUUUGGCAUAGCUCUACUUAGGGUAGGUCCCUAAGGGUUACUAUAUGCGGUUCAGUUCUAAGGAAAUGGUACCUGAACCAGCAGAUUCCUUGAUCUUCACCCAUUAUAGGCUCAUAUGGAUCGAGUUCAGUUCAGGGGGAUACAUUUCCCUAUGGCCAUGCGGAGGUGAAAACCUCACGAAACCAUAGGUACGGAUGUAUCUCGGAAGCGAUCCACUAGCCCAUGCAGAGGUGAAAACCUCACGAAGGCAUAGCUUUUCACUCCCACUUAAGGGUGCGACCACAACAAACAUGCAGUAUGAUGCAGGAAUAACAUAAGAGAAAAUAAAAAUGAUACUAACAAAUGUGACGGAAGAAAACAUAAUUUCAAAACACAAUUUCCAUUUUCGAAAAAAGGACAGAAAUUAAUCAAUUUUACGGCUUGACUCUCUUUAAGUCCCCAGUGGAGUCGCCAAGCUGUCGAAACCAUUUUUAAUUUUAAAACGUGUUUAAACCUUGCUUGAACUGUGUAUAAAUGUAACUGUCGAAACCAUUUUUAAUUUUAAAACGUGGAUUGACUUUAAAAAACAUGGAUGGAGUCGCCACCAAUUCUUUUUGAGGUGUAAUUGGGCCACCUUAUAAAGCAUUUUGGUCUACGAAUGUUAAGAAAAUAGGUUCGGGAAUCAAUUACGUACGAGGAAGGAUUAGCACCCUCGUAACGCCCAAAAUCGGCAUGAAGUCGAUUAAUAAUGUCCUUAUUGUUGAAAAUUUUAAGAGAUUUUAAAAUAUAAUUCUUUUAGAAAAUAUUUGAAUGGUUCGUUUUGGGAUAUUAAGGUUUAUUUUUCCAAAAGGACAAAAUGUCACACCCAGCACGUUAGGAUGCAACAUUUUAACCCUCAAGACCCAAAUAGUCCCUUAAUUUUCUGAAACCUGAGACUAGAAGGAUAUUUAGACAUUUGGAUGACCGAAAAAAACCACAAUCCAGCACGUUAGGGCACGACUCUUUUGGACUUCCAAACGCGAAACAUUGCCUUGUUUUAUAAGACUUUUGAAAACGAUCUAAAGUCAAUUAAAAAUGUAUUUAUUUAAUUUAUUUUUGAAAAAAAAAACUAAGAACUGGCUUAAGUGAGUUUAAAUUUGAGUCGUUAUACCAUACAAGGAAACAUGUAUGCCAUUGUGAAAUAUAUAACAAUAAUCUAAUGCAACAAUAUAAUACGACUAAAUCAUAACAUGAUCAGAAGAUAUGCAUAUAAAGUAAAAGACAUAAUUUAAAUUGAAUAUAUACGCAAAAUAACAUAAGAAAAUAUUUUGAAGACCGAGGUAUACUUUGAAAUGGGAUUUAAAAGAAACAAAUGUAUGAAUAAAAUAUAAUAUAUAUUUAUAUAUAUAUAUAAAAGAAUAUGGACAGCAAGCAAUAUGAAAUCAAUAAUAAUAUAUAGUAAGGAGUAAUAAAUAAUAAUAAUUUAGUAUAAAAUAACUGAUAAAAAAAAUGGUGUAUAUAAAAAAACAAUAUGAUAAGUCCAUUAAAGAAUAUAUUUGAAGGAAAAAAAAAGUUUUAGGGAAAAGAAUGUAUAUAUAUAAGUUAUAAGUGACAAAAAAAUGGUAGUAAAUAGUAAAAAUAAUGAAGAAAAUAAGAAGUAUAAUAAACUAUAUUUAAAAUUAUGAGCCUAAAAAAAACUAAAUAGUAUAAAAAUGCUUAUUAGUAAAAAAAAUAUAACAAAUAAUAUAAUAAAUAUGAUGAAAAUUUAUACAUAAAAUAAUUAACUUUGCUAAAAAAAACCUAUAAUAAGCAUAUAACAUAAAAUGAUAUAAUAAUGUAAAACAUAACUCAAACAAAUUAAAUUAACAGAGAAAAAAAAAUGAAAAUAAGGCUCAAAUUAAUUAAGUCAGCGGUAAAAUGACAAAAGAGCAAGGAAAAAAAGGUUAAAUUGCAGUGAAACGGGAGUUUCGGGGCGAACUUUAGAAAAAAAAAAGCCACAUGGGCUAAAAUGAACGUACGGGCUAAGAGGGAGGACCAGGAAAGCAAAUUUCCUCAUACUUCAAAGCGCAGUGUUUUGGUAUAGGACGAAAAAGCGAUAAAAUCCAAGUUUUUGGGCCAAAUCGUAAUUAGCCAAAGUUCAAAAGGGUCCAAAUUAAAAGCUAGAGUAACAGGGAGGGAUCAAUUGCAAAAUAACCCUCCCCAAAAAAUCAAGGCACCAAACGGUGCUACUUUAUAAACUUAUAAAGCAAAAAGAAACCCCCUUUUUGCCUUGCUAAAGAUUUAACCAAGUUUAGCACCGUAUCUGAGGGUCAUCGGCGCCAUGCACCUCUGCCUCUAUCGGCGCUUCACGGAGCAAAAUCGGGUAAGCCUUCUUCUUUUGGUUUUAUUCAAAAUCGAUUUAUCAAAAUAUGAAAGAACAAAAAGAAAUAAAAAGGGAAGGAAAAAAAAGUCUUGUAAAAGAAUGAAAAGUAACCUCUUAAACCUUAAAUCUCACUUUGAUUGCUAUUGCUUGUUCUCUUUGUAUUCAGGGAAAAAAAACCGUUUCCAAAUAUAUUGUUUAUCUUAGGCUUUAUAGCCUUGUUUUACAAUUGUUUUUGCUGUAGGCAAGGCUGACGUGGGAGCCGUGGGUGCGAGGGAGUCGGGGGCACAAGGCGUGUUGGACGUAAGUGUCGACGUGGUGCGCAAGAUCUGGCUGCUGGGAACUGCUUGCGGUUGCUACUCCUUAGGUUAGGAUUUCCCAUUUUUGCUUUAUUGGUUUUGGGUUUGUUUAGUGGGUUUGUAUUUGUAUUGGGCUAAGUUUUGUUUUAGUGGUUAAUUUGUUUAGGCCUAGGUUUGGGUUUGUUUAAAAAUUUGGUCCUACAAUAACCUUAUAAUUCAUAUUUAUAUUUUAUUAAUUAUUUAAUAUUUCAACAGAAGUCAACGAUUUUUAAUAUAUUUGUGGCAAACAAUAUAUUAAUUAAUUAAGGUUGAAGCUCUAAAUUUCAACACAAGCAUGGGUUAGAGUUAGAAGUCAAUGAGUUUUAUAUAGUUGUGGAAAGAAACAUGAUUUAAUUAAAAUGAGUGCAACAUUUGAACUAAUACUAAAAGAGUACAUUGUGCACUGAUAGGAAUAAGUGAAAGCAAGCAACAAGAUUCAUGACACCCACUGCUGCAUUAAAAAUUAAUUUUAUUUUAGUCAAAUAUUAUUUUUUUGUUAUUGAAAUUCAACGCCAUUGUUUAAGGAGUGGUUUCUUGAAGCAUGAGAUAAUUCUUAAGUUUAAUGUUGGAAAUGUAUUUGGUGUUAUUUACAAUAAAAGUUGUAUCUCUUGAUUCUAUUAAGAGCUCGAGUGUGAUGUUAGAAGUAAGAUGAAUUUGAUGAACGAGUUAUUAAAAAAUUAUUAAUGUCUAAAUUUAAAUUUAUCUUAAAAGGUGUUGUUUAAAUUUAUUCUAUUAUAGAUUUAAAUAUAUAUUUGCUUUUUGUCCAUGUAUUGUAAUGAAUAAAUUCUAGUCGUAUUUGUUA